UACGUAGGGGGCAAGCGUUGUCCGGAUUUAUUGGGCGUAAAGAGCGUGUAGGCGGCCAGGUAGGUCUGCUGUGAAAACUCGAGGCUUAACCUCGAGCGGUCGGCGGAAACCAUCUGGCUAGAGUCCGGAAGAGGAGAAUGGAAUUCCCGGUGUAGUGGUGGAAUGCGUAGAUAUCGGGAGGAACACCAGUGGCGAAGGCGGUUACCUGGAGCUUUGCUGACGCUGAUGCGCGAAAGCGUGGGGAGCGAUCCGG
rnacentral:rRNA from 1 species